rnacentral:rRNA from 1 species
ACGCUCGACACCUACGGCAGCAGUGGGGAAUAUUGCACAAUGGGGGAAACCCUGAUGCAGCGACGCCGCGUGAGCGAAGAAGUAUUUCGGUAUGUAAAGCUCUAUCAGCAGGGAAGAAGAAAGACGGUACCUGACUAAGAAGCCCCGGCUAACUACGUGCCAGCAGCCGCGGUAAUCUGAGCGGGCUGGCAAGGC